UGCACUGUAUAGUAUCUGCAUGCAGCAUUUCAUUCCUGCUGAAGUGUUCAAAGGACAGUGCAACAGAAAAUCAGUAUUUGGCAUCGUUGGUUUUCUUGGCUUUGUGCAUUAGAAACCUGGUAAUACUUUUGACACAUUA
ensembl:snoRNA